rnacentral:rRNA from 2 species
GGCUGAUACCGCCCAAGAGUUCAUAUCGACGGCGGUGUUUGGCACCUCGAUGUCGGCUCAUCACAUCCUGGGGCUGAAGUAGGUCCCAAGGGUAUGGCUGUUCGCCAUUUAAAGUGGUACGCGAGCUGGGUUUAGAACGUCGUGAGACAGUUCGGUCCCUAUCUGCCGUGGGCGCUGGAGAACUGAGGGGGGCUGCUCCUAGUACGAGAGGACCGGAGUGGACGCAUCACUGGUGUUCGGGUUGUCAUGCCAAUGGCACUGCCCGGUAGCUAAAUGCGGAAGAGAUAAGUGCUGAAAGCAUCUAAGCACGAAACUUGCCCCGAGAUGAGUUCUCCCUGACUCCUUGAGAGUCCUGAAGGAACGUUGAAGACGACGACGUUGAUAGGCCGGGUGUGUAAGCGCAGCGAUGCGUUGAGCUAACCGGUACUAAUGAACCGUGAGGCUUAACCUUACAACGCCGAAG